CCGUCACCGCUGCCCUGGAUGACGCUCCAUUGCUGUCGCCGCGUCCCCGUGGUGUCCCUGACGCUCUGGACGUCUUCUUCCCCGGGAUCCACGCUCUCCGUCGCCGUCAUCACGUCGCCGUCAUCACGUCGCUAAGCACGCCGCUCCUAUUGGAUGAUGGGACGGCGUGCGCGACGACGUGAUGACGUUGAAGGAGAGCGCUGGCCAUGCAUGGGAUCCCGGCACGGAGCAGACACCGAGGAGGCCGGUAAGGUCCCUCCCGGUGUCCUGUAAGCUGUUUGGGAAUGCCGCGAUUUCACCAUGGCGGUCCCGAACAGCCCGACUGAGCAGCCUGGUUUGUGUCACUUUGGCUUCAGAUGCAGCGGUCAGCUUUGAUCACCGCAUCUGAAGGGUUAAUACAGGGCAUCACCGCGAUCGGUGAUGUCCUGUAUUAGCCGCGGGUCCCGGCCAUUGAUGGCUGCAGGGACCAACCCGAUAGGUGUGUAUUCACCGUAUAAGAAGCACCAACUUUCCCCCCCCCUCUUUGGGGAAGAAAAAGUGCGUCUUAUACGGUGAAAAAUACGGUACAUUUUUUUAAUGUAGUAAUCUUCUAUGGUGUCUAUCUCAUACAGCUUCAAGAAAACAUAUCCUUCUGGUAUUAUGCUGAAGUCGCCAGAAUGAAAGCAAGAAUGGUUCACAUGAUGGACGGCACAAAAGUUCACUGUCAGACUUUCCUGGACGUGUCAGCACAUCAGCAGAUUGCUUGAAGUGAUAAAAGAAUGAAUGCUACGUUAACAAGCAGGAGGAAUUCAGGUAAUAGAGGACAGCAGAUGGAUGGACAUCACAACAGCCCCUCUCUUUACUCUAUUGAACAAAUACAGGUAUCAUAAAUACCAUAUUCCAAUGAUUGUGAAUUGAUUGUAAAAGGAAAAUAUUUACAUAUAUAAUAAAGAGUGUAAAAAGUCUUUAAUUUAUAACAAAUAGUGCCAAAGGUCGAAAGCAUAACCUGGGGGUUAGCUGCACAUGCAUGGAGAAUUAGAUACUAAUGGAGGGACCCCAACAAGGUACUCUUUCCAGUUGAGGGUAUUUAGAUGCAUUGUAGUCACCUGAAUGGGACUGCUCAUGAGGAAGUGGGGAAUGCCAGUUCUAUGCCUCGGUCAUUGAGAAGGCUAUAAGGAAAGAGCUCUACAGUGAUGUAAUGAGUUAAAUUCUUAUAGUAAAGUAUGGUGGCACUAUAGGGCUGUUUAGAAGCACUGAGUACACUGUGGUGGCACAAGCACCAACAGCUUCUUUUAAACAGAUUUUGCUCACUGCAAAGGAGGGAACAUGAAUGAGCAGUCUGGAAUCCAUUAGCAAAUAUAUCUCUAAUGUAUUGCUUUUGUAGAUCUGUAAAAAAUGUAAAACAGAUGUUUGAGAACAAUUUAUAUCCCUGUUUUCUUGCUGGGUACACAGGUACUCUGCUUUACUCAUGAG